rnacentral:rRNA from 1 species
UACGUAGGGUGCAAGCGUUACUCGGAAUUACUGGGCGUAAAGCGUGCGCAGGCGGUGAUGUAAGACAGUUGUGAAAUCCCCGGGCUCAACCUGGGAACUGCAUCUGUGACUGCAUUGCUGGAGUGCGGCAGAGGGGGAUGGAAUUCCGCGUGUAGCAGUGAAAUGCGUAGAUAUCGGAAGGAACACCAGUGGCGAAAGCGGCUUCCUGGUCCAGCACCGACGUUCAGGCACGAAAGCGUGGGGAGCAAACAGG